rnacentral:misc_RNA from 1 species
UAGCAAUCCCAUAAACCGUGGCUCAGUUCAGAUCGUAGGCUGCAACUCGCCUACGUGAAGUAGGAAUCGCUAGUAAUCGCAGGUCAGCAUACUGCGGUGAAUACGUUCCCGGGCCUUGUACACACCGCCCGUCACACCAUGGAAGUUGGCCAUGCCCGAAGUCGUUACUCCAACCCUUGUGGAGGAGGACGCCGAAGGUGGGGCUAAUGACUGGGGUGAAGUCGUAACAAGGUAGCCGUACCGGAAGGUGCGGCUGGAUCACCUCCUAACAGGGAGACAACAAAAUGUUUAAUAUUAUUUUGUCACCUUAGGUCGAUCGGUAUCUCACGUUUUUAAUUUAUUAAGAAUUUCAUUUCCUAAGUUUUUCUAGGUCACACCCAUUAUUUUUCCUGGGCCAUUAGCUCAGGUGGUUAGAGCGCACCCCUGAUAAGGGUGAGGUCCCUGGUUCAAGUCCAGGAUGGCCCAUAUCUCUAUGUUGGGGGUAUAGCUCAGUUGGUAGAGCGCCUGCUUUGCAAGCAGGAUGUCAGCGGUUCGAGUCCGCUUACCUCCACUGAUUACCACCUCUUCCAUAACCGGUAGAAAGGAAAUGUUUUGAGUUGUGAUCAAAUCCUGAAAGAAUCUAGCUUCCUAAUGAAAUCAUUAAGAUGCUGGACUCAUUGAAUUAACUUCAUUGUUUUCAGAGAACCUUGACAACUGCAUAGAUUAUUUUUAAAGACAAUAAGCAUCUUUAAUGAUGCAGAUUUAUUAUUU